GCGUCUACACUAGACGCGGUAAAUCGAUCCCCGAUAGAUCGAUCACUACCCACUGGACGUGGCCUUAGUGUAGACCAGUGUAGACGUGGCCUGAGCGUCAUUGCUUUAAAUCCUUUGCUCUACAUUGGUUUGCCAAGGUUUCCAUCCUGGCAAAUUGGCUCCUCCACCUUGAAAAAUCCUGCAGAUGGCGGCCAAGCUAGUUGCCCUUUAUUGUUUUUGAAUCACAUCUUCCCAAAUGACACAGCAAUUGCCUUAAAUUGCAAUUGCAGCCCUGUGAUUACCUGCAUAUUACAAAGUUAAACCAUAGAAACCCAGGUUUUUGCAUUAUUGUUUUGGAAUUUAAAAUAGCCCUGGCAUAUCUAUGACAGUAAGACAAAUGUGUCUUGUUCCCUCUGUUGAUAUUUUGGCUCCAAACAGAUUCCUGGGAGCUGGCUUCCACACCAUCUCAGCACUCAGCCUCUUCAACUGAGGAACCUCUCUGAAGUAACGUUGUGGACUUCUUCAUCUGUAAGUAAAGCAGGAAUACUGAAGACUCUUGACUCUGUUUUUGAUCUAAACACUUCCAGAAACUUCCCAGCUGAACAACAUGCCUUUAUAUGUGUAUAAGGCAUUGACGAAGCAAAGGUAUGGUCCCUGCUCCACCGAGCUUGGAGUCUAAACUGACCAAACACGAGAGAUUCUUCUCUGAUCAUUUGCCACUGUUGCUGAACAGAUGCAAAAUCGUCAAGUGAGGAAACACACUUUCGCGGUUUGGACUUUGCUUGUUCUUUAUUAUUCUCUGCAAAACUGACUGCUGAAUCCAUGUACUUUUUUUUGCUACUGCUGGCACUAUAUGCCAUUUAUGAAAUGAAGUAUUUUAAAUGCUGACAUGGAAACGGAGUAAAAACACAAGAAUGGGUCAGAUCAAAGGUCCAUCGAGCACAGUAUCCGGUCUUCUGACAGUGGCCAAUGCCAGGUGCUUCAGAUGGAAUGAACAGAGCAGGUAAUCAUCAAGUGAUCCAUCCCCUGUUGCACAUUCCCAGCUUCUGGCAAACAGAAGCUAGGGACACCAUCGCUGCUCAUCCUGGCCAAUAGCCAUUGAUGGACCUGUCCUCCAUGAGCUUAUCUAGUUCUUUUUUGAAGCCUGUUAUAUAGUCUAUAGUAGAGUGAUGUCAAGGUCAUGAAUGAAGGGAACAGUAGCUUUUAUAAAACCUAAAUAAAUAAAAUCUAAAUGAA